rnacentral:rRNA from 1 species
GCAUAUCAAUAAGCGGAGGAAAAGAAACCAACAGGGAUUGCCUCAGUAACGGCGAGUGAAGCGGCAACAGCUCAAAUUUGAAAUCUGGCCUCUUUGGGGUCCGAGUUGUAAUUUGUAGAGGAUGUUUCGGGUACCGCCUCGGCCUAAAUUUCUUGGAACAGAAUGUCAAAGAGGGUGAGAAUCCCGUCUUGGACCGGCGGUAGGGCCCAUGUGAAACUCCUUCGACGAGUCGAGUUGUUUGGGAAUGCAGCUCAAAAUGGGUGGUAAAUUUCAUCUAAAGCUAAAUAUUGGCCAGAGACCGAUAGCGCACAAGUAGAGUGAUCGAAAGAUGAAAAGCACUUUGAAAAGAGAGUUAAACAGUAUGUGAAAUUGUUGAAAGGGAAGCGCUUGCAACCAGACUUGUGCUCGGCGGUUCCCCCUUCCUUUUGGUUGGGUUAUUCCGUCGUGUCCAGGCCAACAUCGGUUCUGGGGGUCGGUCAAAGGCCUUGGGAAUGUACCUACCCUUCGGGCGUAGACUUAUAGCCCUUGGUGUCAUGCGGCCUCCCGGGACCGAGGAACGCGCUUCGGCUCGGAUGUUGGCGUAAUGGUUGUCAGCGACCCGUCUUGAAACACGGACCAAGGAGUCUAACAUCUAUGCGAGUGUUUGGGUGUCAAACCCGGAACGCGGAAUGAAAGUGAACGGAGGUAGGAAGCUUCGGCUGCACUAUCGACCGAUCCUGAUGUCUUCGGAUGGAUUUGAGUAAGAGCAUAGCUGUUGGGACCCGAAAGAUGAUGAACUAUGCCUGAAUAGGGUGAAGCCAGAGGAAACUCUGGUGGAGGCUCGCAGCGGUUCUGACGUGCAAAUCGAUCGUCAAAUUUGGGUAUAGGGGCGAAAGACUAAUCGAAUCAUCUGGUAGCUGGUUCCUGCCGAU